AACUUCAACAACGAUCUCUGGUCUGCACGAGAAGAACCAGCAAAAUGCAAAAGUAAGUGAAUGCAAAUCAGAAUCACGAACUUUGAACGCACAUGCGCCGCCAGUAUUCUGGCGCAUGCCUUCGAGCGUCAUUUCAACCCUCAAGCCCAGCUGUGUGGAGCUGCAGUCCUGCUCACUCCCCAAAUACAUUGCGGCACGUCGAGCUCCAUACGUAUAAUUACAUAUCUACUGUAAUCGCGCGCCACCCGUAAACCCAACUCGAAUGUGACCCGAUCAGGUAGAAUACCCGUAACUAAGCAAUCAAUAACGAGAAAAAAACCAACAGGAUGCCCUAGUAACGCGAGUAAGCGCAACAGCUCAAAUGAAAUCGGCUUCGGCCCGAUUUAAUUUAGAGAGAUUUGAUGCGGUGCCUCCGAUUCCUGAACGGGACCAUAGAGGAGAGCCCCGUCUGUUGACCAAAUCUCUGUAAAUCUCCUUCGACGAGUCGAUAGUUGGAAUGCUGCCUAAAUGAUAUAUGUCUCUAAAGCUAAAUACCGCCAGAGACCGAUACGCACAAAGAGUGAUCGAAAGAUGAAAACACUUUGAAAAGAGAGUUAAAAAGUACGUGAAAUUUGAAAGGAACGUUAUGACCAGACUGGCUGUUAAUCAUCUGGUCUCUCCAGUGCACUUUUCCAGCCCAGGCCAGCAUCAGUUUCGCCGGGAUAAAGACUUCGGAAUGUGGCCCCUCGGGAGUUAUAGCCGUUGUGUAAUACCCUGUGGACUGAGGUCGCGCUUCUGCAAGGAUGCUGGCGAAUGUCAUCAACGACCGUCUAAACACGACCAAGAUCGCUCGUAGCAGUCGUGUCAAACCCCUACCGAAUGAAAGAACGCAGUAGAGCUCGGCGCAUCACGACCGAUCCUGUUCUCGAUGAUUGAUAAGAGCAACGGCCGACCCGAAAGAAGGAACUACGUAGGAACCAAGAAACUCUGGAGCCGCACGUCUGACGCAAAUCGAUCGUCAAACAUGGCAUGGGCGAAAGACUAAUCGAACCUUCUAUAGCUGUUCCGCCGAAGUUCCCUCAGAUAGCAGUGAACUCAGUUUAUGAGUAAGCGAAGAUAGGACUCGGGGCGCUAUUAGCCUUCAUCCAUUCUCAAACUUAAAUAUUAAGAACCUUGUGCUUAAUGAACGGAGCAUUCGAAUGUAUCAACACUAUGGCCAUUUGUAAGCAGAACUGCGAUGCGGAUAACCGAACGCAGUUAAGUGCCAGAGUAGACGCUCAUCAACACACAAAAGUUUAUACAUCUUGACAGCAGACGUGCCAUGAAGUCGAAUCCGCUAAGACGUGAACAACUCACCUGCCGAAUACUACCCUGAAAAGGAUGCGCUCAAGCGUCUCACCCAUACUCGCCCUCAGUAGAAACGAAGCCGAGAUAGCGACGUGGAGUCAUGACGAACCUAGCUAGCCCGGUGAACGGCCUAGUGCAGAUCUUGGUAGUACAAAUACUCAAUGAAACUGAAGACCGAAGUGGAAAGUCCAUGAACAGCGUUGACAUGUAGUCGAUCCUAACAUAGGAAUCCGUUCAAAGCCACUUGCGCCGUCUACGAAAGGACCGUCAAUUCGCACCUGAUGGUUUGCGCGCAACGCAACUGAACGGAGACACGCGGGGCCCCAAGCAGAGUUCUUUCUUCUAACAGCCUCACCCUGAAAUCGUUGUCCGAGCUAGGUUAAUGCGAAAGCCGCACCUCUGCCGGUUGUGCCUCGACGUCCUUGAAAAUCCACGGAAAAUAAUCUCACCCAGUCGUACUCAUAACCGCAGCAGUCUCCAAGGAACAGCCUCUGUUGAUAGAACAAUGUAGAUAAGAAUCGCAAAAUAGAUCCGUAACUUCGGAAAGAUGCUCUAAGGUGGCACGUUGCCUGGCGACUCCGGACAGCCGCCACUAUCGGCAACCGACCGAGCGCCAGCAUCCGGUCGACCCUGCACUCGCCGCCGUGCGUUAAACCAACUUAAACUGUACGACAAGGAAUCUGACGUCAAUAAAACAUAGCAUGCGAUGCCAAAAGUGUGACGCAAUUAUUCUGCCAUGCUCUGAAUUCAAAGGAAGUAAUCAACCAACCGGAAACGCGAGUAACUAGACUCCUUAAGUACCAAUGCUCGUCAUCUAAUUAUGACGCGCAUGAAUGGAUUAACAGAUCCCACGUCCCUAUCUACUAUCUAGCGAAACCACAGCCAAGGAACGGCUGGCAAACAGCGGAAGAAGACCCUGUUGAGCUGACUCUAGUUGACAUGUGAAAGACAUAGGAGUGUAGAAAGUGGAGCUUCGCGCCGUGAAAUACCACUACUCCUAUUGUUUUUACUAUUCAAUGAACGGGCUGAUUACGUCCAACUCUGUUUAAGUCCUUCGCGCCGACCCGGUUAAGACAUGUCAGUGGGAUUGGCGGCGGCACAUCUGUUAAACCAAACGCAGGUCCUAAGGGGCUCAUGAGAACAAAAUCUCCAGUAGAACAAAGGUAAAAUCCCUUAUUGAUUUCAUGUGAAUACAAACCAUGAAAGUGGCCUAUCGAUCCUUUAGUCCCUCGACAUUUGAGCUAGAGUCCAGAAAAGUUACCACAGGAUAACUGCUUGGCGCCAAGCGUCAUACGACGUCGCUUUGAUCCUCGAUCGCUCUCCUAUCAUACCGAAGCAAACGUAACUUGAUGUUCACCACUAAUAGGAACGACUGGUUAACGCGAACAGUAUUUACCCACGAGACCACGCAUGUAAUACUAGUAAAGACGCGAUCAAUAUGGUUUUGCGCUCGACCGUGCGCGAACACAUCUGCGAUAAUGCGAACCCCUAAUCAGAACAUGCAAAGCGGAAACCCGACUAAGAUGACAAGAAUAGCCCGUAGCCUUAGCAGCGAUUCCACGCCGAACGCUGGGUAUUCGCGAGUAUUCAACCACGGUAAUCCUUGCAGACACUGUGCACGGCGU
rnacentral:rRNA from 1 species